rnacentral:lncRNA from 1 species
CCGCCGGCCCGGCACGCCCGGCGGCCGCCGCCGCGUCGACGACCACGCCGUCCAGAAGAGCAAGCAGGACAUGCAGAACUGCUUCGGCUUCGAUGACGAGGAGGACGAGGUGGACUUCAUGGCGACCGGCAAGAAGGAGGCCGUCGAUAUGAUGUAGGCGACCCGUCACCUCUCUGACGAGACGGUCUCGGGCGGACAGUGACUAUGGAGGCGCCACCGCUCCGCCAGCGGGGUGGGCGCCGUCGGACCGCAGCGCGCGUGCGCGUCGGCUCGUGGGCGGGGUGUCCAUCGCCCGCCGAAGCCUCUCGCCUGACCUGCGGGUGGCGGCGCCGGCGCCUGAUCACGACCGCCGCGGCUCUGAAGGCCCCGCUCGGCCAUCGGUGGCGGUCGCUGCCCGCCACUACACUGCAGCAUGACGGGGCGGAAGCGGUGUGGUGGAGCCUGCCGCAGCCAGGCGGUGGCGUACGGCUCGGGCCGGUCGCGCAGUAUUGUGUGUGGCUGUUCACUGCCCGGAUGCGGCAAUAUCGCAUCGAGCCGAGCGUGUGUCGUGCUUGUCCGGGUGCACGCUUGAUCUGUCCUUGGGCGACGCCGUGUGGGCCGUUCCGUACCGAGACGCUCGUAACGCACACCGGACUGGACGCCCGGCCGCACAUCAGCAGGCUGAGCGACGACGGCGUUUGGUGGCCGUGACCCGAUGCACGUCGAUGACCUUUGUAACUUAUAUUUAGGUGAUGCCGAGAGUUGGAAUGCUGCCGCAGCACCAGGGUAUGCAGGAGCCGCCGUGGUCGCUGGUUUUGUACGGAGGGUUUGUCGGUGGUUGGCGGGUCCGUGACGCGGCGCGAGCGUCAGCAGCGACUGGCGCUCGCGGGGCCCGGCGGCAUUCGCUGCGUGUGUCGAGUGGCGCCGCCGCCUGGUGCGAGCCCGCUGCCGGGCGCGCGUCUCGGUGGCGUGGUCUCUUCUCUUGCCGCGUGGAGCUGGUGCGGCGGCGGCCGCUGGUGCAGCGCCUCUGGCCGGCGUGUGUGGCGAUCUCUGCAGCUCGGCGCCGCGCUGACGGGGAGCCGACUGAUGCCGGCGUCACUGCCGGGGCUGGAAACGCCCCGUGGCCCGGACCGGACCGGCGCAGUGGCCGGACGGGGACCUUCCGCCGGCCCGUGUGGGGUCCAGUUCUCGGUGUCGCGUUUUGGAUUCAAGAUUCGUGUUAUCCGGACCCAAUGUCUGUAUUUGUGUCAUGUGGUGGUGAUACACCGUAGAUCUAUCCAUGUA